UACGUAGGGGGCGAGCGUUGUCCGGAUUUACUGGGCGUAAAAGGCUCGUAGGUGGCUCGUCCAGUCGGACGUGAAAUCUCCCGGCUUAACUGGGAGGGGUCGUUCGAUACUAGCGGGCUCGAGGUCGGUAGAGGGAAGCGGAAUUCCGGGUGUAGUGGUGGAAUACGCAGAUAUCCGGAGGAACACCAGUGGCGAAGGCGGCUUCCUGGACCGACACUGACGCUGAGGCGCGAAAGCUAGGGGAGCAAACGGG
rnacentral:rRNA from 1 species